UACGUAGGGUGCGAGCGUUAAUCGGAAUUACUGGGCGUAAAGCGUGCGCAGGCGGUUUUGUAAGACAGGCGUGAAAAUCCCCCGGGGCUUAACCUGGGAAUUGCGCUUGUGACUGCAAGGCUGGAGUGCGGGCAGAGGGGGAUGGAAUUCCCGCGUGUAGCAGUGAAAUGCGUAGAUAUGCGGAGGAACACCGAUGGCGAAGGCAAUCCCCUGGGCCUGCACUGACGCUCAU
rnacentral:rRNA from 1 species